CAGUCGCCACGGUAAUACGUAGGUGGCAAGCGUUGUCCGGAAUUAUUGGGCGUAAAGGGCUCGCAGGCGGUUUCUUAAGUCUGAUGUGAAAGCCCCCGGCUCAACCGGGGAGGGUCAUUGGAAACUGGGAAACUUGAGUGCAGAAGAGGAGAGUGGAAUUCCACGUGUAGCGGUGAAAUGCGUAGAGAUGUGGAGGAACACCAGUGGCGAAGGCGACUCUCUGGUCUGUAACUGACGCUGAGGAGCGAAAGCGUGGGGAGCGAACAGGAUUAGAUACCCGAGUAGUCCCUGUCUCUUAUAA
rnacentral:rRNA from 1 species